AGUGAACGCUGGCGGUAGGCCUAACACAUGCAAGUCGAACGGCAGCACAGUAAGAGCUUGCUCUUACGGGUGGCGAGUGGCGGACGGGUGAGGAAUACAUCGGAAUCUACUUUUUCGUGGGGGAUAACGUAGGGAAACUUACGCUAAUACCGCAUACGACCUACGGGUGAAAGCAGGGGAUCUUCGGACCUUGCGCGAUUGCAUGAGCCGAUGUCGGAUUAGCUAGUUGGCGGGGUAAAGGCCCACCAAGGCGAUGAUCCGUAGCUGGUCUGAGAGGAUGAUCAGACACACUGGAACUGAGACACGGUCCAGACUCCUACGGGAGGCAGCAGUGGGGAAUAUUGGACAAUGGGCGCAAGCCUGAUCCAGCCAUACCGCGUGGGUGAAGAAGGCCUUCGGGUUGUAAAGCCCUUUUGUUGGGAAAGAAAAGCAGCAGGUUAAUACCCCGCUGUUCUGACGGUACCCAAAGAAUAAGCACCGGCUAACUUCGUG
rnacentral:rRNA from 1 species